GCCUGGGUAGCUUAAUGGUAGAAGCGCUAAUUUGAAGCAUUGGAGAAAUGAGUUCAAUUCUCUUUCUGGGCA